AUGAAUAAUUUUGCAUGAUGCACGAUGAAGAUGUAUACUUCAUGGAGUUGAGGUAUUUGGCGUUAUUGUCAGAAUUGUCGUGCAUUUUUUAUCUUUUUGUAAUUAAUCAUUAUAGGUAUUUAAAAAUCUAUACUUUAAAUCUACUAGUAGUCAUGCAUUAUUGUUGUUGUUGGUGGUGGUGGGAGCAUCUCGUGCUGAAUGCAGGGAGAAAGAUGACGAAAGUGUUAGAACAAAACGCAGUCCCUUCUCACGACCAUUACGUGGCCGCGCCGGUGGUCAACAACCUCAUCGAUGUGAUUCCGGACGAGAGAUGAAUGGAACAACACAUCCCGCGGAGGAGGACAAAAGAUGCGGUAAUGUGACAAGAGAGGCAGGAGGCUGGAUAAAGAUGGAGGCGAUGGAGAGGAAUGGGACUGUGUGAUGACGCGCGGCACGAGGCAACGUGUUGCCAUCUCCACGACGAGGGUAGGUGGCGCUCUCCCCCCUCCCGCGCGCCGUUCUUAAGCCUCCUCCUCCUCGUCAUUCCUACUUUCAGGGCCAGCGAGGCGCAUGGAUUGGUGGCAGCGCAUGGUUGUGCUGCCGGCGAAGAGAGCCCUCGUCGCCGUCGCCGCCCGUGUCAGGACCAGAAAGGCCGGACGCGGCAUGCUGGUGAAGCUUCGCAACGAGGUGCAGACGUGCGGGUACGAGGACGUGCAGGUGAUGUGGGAGAUGCUGCAGAGGUCGGCGGCGGAGCUCGCGGGAGCUCCAAGGGGCAGCAAGCAGACGCCGGCGUGGUCGCGUCGGACCUCGUCGUCUUCGGCACGGUCGGUUCCGCGGCCGCUGUGCCAUGAACGGAGAGGAAGCAGAUCGUAGGAAGACCCUGCAUGGCCUUCGAUGGGGUUGACUGAGAUGUAUUCAGUGCGUUCUUCUGCUACCUUCGUUGUUUAUAUGAUCCCCCGGAAAUGAGUGUUCUAAACAAAGAACUAAUAGCUUAUAACAUGAUCAGAAUUCUUUA